CUUCCGGCCACCGCAGCAGUGCCAUAAUUUCUUCUGCGAUGGUCCCUGGAGCAUGGGAACCAACCAGGCUGUGGAGCGUGAAGGUGGAGGCAGGUCCUUCCCUCUGAGCCCAGGGAGCCAUCCCAACACUCCUCGUCAGAGCUUGGAGAACCUCAAGAGUGAAGGAGGCCUGGAUCUUCUGCUUCUCAGGCUUGGGAAGAUCAGAGGAGAAAUGAAAUCGCUGCCACCCUGGGAAAACCUAGGAGAGGUGACCAUGGAGACUUGGACCUCCAGGCCUGGGGAGAGAGCUCUCCGCUCUCAAGCCUCAGCCCUUUCUCAGGAUGGAGAGGACAAGACCGAGUUUCAGGAGCCAUUGACCUUCAGGGACGUGGCGGUAGUCUUCACUGAGGAGGAACUGAGGCUGCUGGACCCCGCCCAGAGGAAGUUGUACCGAGACGUGAUGCUGGAGAACUUCAGGAACCUGCUGUCUGUGGGAGACAAGAAUACAAAGGAAAUGGAGUAUAUUCCAGGAAGAGAAUUAAAGGGCCAUUACCUCAGAGAGGUGUCCUGCUGGAAAAUCUGGGAACAGGUGGCUGGUGAAUUAAUUGGGAGUUGGGAUCAUAGAGGAAAUCUUCAAGGGAGAAGUUUCCAGUUCUCAGAAGACACUUCUCACUGCCAAGGGUGGGAAGGAGCCCCUGCCCGGGGUCCACACAUUGACAAUUUGGUUGGCAAUCUUCAGGGACCCAUCGGUUCAGAAAAUCGAGCGUUUCCACCAUGGAAAGCUGUAAGAGUGGUACCCGCUCAAGAUUCUUGGAUGAAAGCCUUUGUGAACGAGCCAUGGAACAUUCGAGAAAGGUGUAAAAAACUUGACAGGCAAGAUAUAAUAUAUAAACAUGAGGGGGACGGUUACGGCUUCGGCUGGAUAUCACGUCACGAUGACCACAGGUUACCUGAAACAGAGAGACCCUGUGAUUGCCGUCAGUGUGGAAAGGACCGCAUUAAAAAGCUGGUACUUCAUCAUCGCCCUAACCCCCCAGAGCAUGACUGGACAAGAAAUGAACAUGGAAACGGCUUCAGGGAAGAGUCAUGCGUUCCCACUGAUCCCAGAGGGCCCUGGAGAGAGAGAAGCCACAAAAACGAGUUGGGUUCGGGCUUGAGGCCGACUGCCCACCUUGAGAGACCCCAAAGGCCUCCCUCGGUGGAGAAAGCCUCUAAAAGUCCAGAGAGGGGCUGGGGCCCAAGGCAGAACACGCGCGGCCCCCGCCGUGCCCGGGCCCCUGCCGGCGAGAUGCCCUACCGGUGCGACGUGUGCGGCAAGGGUUUUCGAUACCAGUCCAUCCUCCUCAUCCACCAGGGCGUGCACACAGGCAGGAAGCCCUACGUGUGCGAGGAGUGCGGGAAGGCCUUUGGCCGCAGCUCCAACCUGCUGGUGCAUCAGAGGGUACACACGGGUGAGAAGCCGUACAAGUGCACUGAGUGCGGCAAGGGCUUCAGCUACAGCUCGGUGCUGCAGGUGCACCAGCGGCUGCACACAGGCGAGAAGCCCUACGCGUGCGGCGAGUGCGGCAAGGGCUUCUACGCCAGGUCGGCCUUGCACAAGCACCAGCACGCGCACCCCGGGGAGAGGCCCUACAGCUGCGGCCAGUGUGGCAAGGGCUUCGCCUGCAGCUCCCACCUCAGCAGCCACCAGAAGGCACACGCGACCCAGAAGCCCUACCAAUGCGACAAGUGCGGCAAGGUUUUCAGCUACAACUCCUACCUGCAGGCGCACCAGCGCGUCCACACCGGGCAGCGGCUCUUCGAGUGCGACGUGUGCGGCAAGACUUUCAGCUACAGCUCGGGGCUGCUCAGGCACCAGCGGCUACACACGGGCGAGAAGCCCUACAAGUGCGAGUGCGGGAAGGGCUUCGGCCGCAGCUCGGACCUGCACGUGCACCAGCGGGUCCACACUGGCGAGAAGCCCUACAAGUGCGGUGAGUGCGGGAAGGGCUUCCGGCGGAAUUCGGACCUGCACAGCCACCAGCGGGUCCACACGGGCGAGCGGCCCUUCGUGUGCGGCGCGUGCGGGAAGGGCUUCAUCUACAGCUCCGACCUGCUCAUCCAUCAGAGGACGCACACGGGCGAGAAGCCCUACAAGUGCGCCGAAUGCGGCAAGGGCUUCAGCUACAGCUCCGGGCUCCUCAUUCACCAGAGGGUCCACACCGGCGAGAAGCCCUACAGAUGCACCGAGUGCGGCAAGGGCUUCCGCUGCACGUCGAGCCUCUACAAGCAUCAGCGGAUCCACACAGGCAAGAAGCCCUACACCUGUGACCAGUGUGGCAAGGGCUUCAGUUAUGGCUCCAACCUGCGCACCCACCAGCGGCUGCACACGGGCGAGAAGCCCUACACGUGUUACGAAUGCGGCAAGGGCUUCCGAUACGGCUCAGGGCUUCUGAGUCACAAGAGGGUGCACACCGGGGAGAAGCCCUAUAGGUGUGACGUGUGCGGGAAGGGCUACAGUCAGAGCUCCCACCUGCAGGGUCACCAGAGGGUCCACACGGGCGAGAAGCCCUACAGGUGUGGGGAGUGCGGGAAGGGCUUUGGCCGAAGCUCCUGUCUCCACGUGCACCAGAGAGUCCACACCGGCGAGAAACCCUACAAGUGCGGGGAGUGCGGGAAGGGCUUCAGUUACAGCUCAGGCCUGCGGAACCAUCAGCGGGUGCACGGCAGCAAGAAACCCGACAAGUAGGCGUGCGUGGGGCUGGCACCCCGAGCUUUCUAGUCGUCAGAGCGCCAGUGCGGGAGAAAGCCUUUGGAAACAUGGUGUGUAGGGUCGGCCACGGUUGACGGGAAGGGGACUGACCUGGUCAUGGUGGCCCUUUCUGAAGGGGAAGCGAAGACCCGAAAGGCUGAGAAAUGGGAAGAGCACUUGAGUCCCAGGCUUCUGCCCCCAAGUGUCCCCAAGAGUCUGUCGCAUGGUGGAUUGUCCUCAAGGAAGUAGGACGGGGCCUCAGUAAAAAUCGUCACUCUCCUCAGAGUUGGCUCAGGAGGGAGCUUUUAUGAAUGAUGAUGAUAGGCUACACACCCAGCGUGGAGCCCAACAUGGGGCUUGAACUCACUCACAGCCCCGAGAUCAAGACCUGAGCCGAGAUCAAGAGUCGGAUGCUCAAGUGACUGAGCUGCCCAGGUGCUCCUCAUUUUAUUGGGUUUAAAAGCAAAAGCCCAUUGGCAUUGCACUGAAUUUAUAGGUUAAUUUAUUUUAUUGUUAUGAAUAUAAUUCUUCUGCCCCGUUUCAUUCAUAGUGUUCUUAGACAAGGCAACCAUUAGAGCAUCUUAAAGAGUCAGAAACACCAUUUUAACUUGUCGGAACAGCUGUGGUAAAAUAGUAACCAGAGCCACCAUCGGUGGGGAAUCUAUGGAAACAUGCACCUGUGAAUUUAUUGGUGGGGGUGAAAAAAGUAGUCAUUUGGGGAAAGCGUCAGUGUGUCAAGUUCAGUUUGUAUUAACCUUUGAAGUGGCAUUAAGUGUGGAGUAAGAGAUACUCGGGAAAUAGUUGCACAUGUGGAAAAAGAUGUACGCGUAUGGCUGAGUUUCUUAGCGUUGUCUUAACAGCAAAAAAAAAAAUACUCCAAGUGUAAUAAACUAAGGCACAUGUAAAUGAAUGAAAAUCACUAAAAAUAUUCAUACACAUACAUUGACAUUGAAGGUUGCCCAAAAAUUAUAUUGUGAACCAGGAAAGUUGGAGAACCAUUUUAAUAUGGCCCUGUUUUGUUAAUACAUUUUGCGUGCAUAUGUUUAGAGAGCGAGAGAGAUGAAAAUGUGUGAAAGGUUAGUAUGAUAACUGCUUAUCUCUAGUAAGUGGGAUGUGGGGUGUGUAAUACAUUCAUGUACUUUUAUAUAUUUUACUUUUUAACAAAGAGCAUAUAUCAAUUUUAUAACAAUAGUAAAGCUAUUUUUUAAAAAAAAGUCUGGCAGAACAGUGCCUUAUGUCAAAGAUCCAUGUCACAGCCUCUGUAAUUUUGUUGCUGUUGCUUUUUCUACUGUGUACUUGGCACCUAAGUACCAAAUAUAAGGUAUACAGAUGAAUGGAGAAA